CAUCGGUCAGCUGAUUUGGUCUUCUGGUCUCCAGCGCUCGGCGACGGCGAGCGGCGGCCGGCCGGCCGGCCGGCCCCUAUCGAUCUCCCCUGCCGCCGGUCCGGGUACGGCUGCAGAGGUCCAGCCAUGGUGAAGACGUCGGCCAACCCGAACCCCAAGGGCAAGGCCACAGCUUCGCCCUCUGCACUCCCGCCAGCCAAGACCAGAAAGGUCAGGCCUAAGGUGUUUAAGAAGAAGGCCAAGGCUGAUCCGGAGAAGCAGAAGGUUGUGGCUGCCGAAGCAGCCACCACUGAUGAGGCUGCUUUGGCACCGCCUCUGAAGCAGACCGAGGCGAGUCCUGCAACAGCCAGGGCGAAGGAGACUGGUGGCCAGAAAAUGAAAAUGAGCAGAAAGGAGGGGAAGAUGAAGGGUGUUGAGAAGGGGAGGAUAAAGGAGAAGGAAAGGAAGGAUGUGAAAAUUGGGGAGAGGAAGGGUGAAGCUGGGUUUAUAUUCAUGUGCAGUGCUAAGAAAAAGCUGGAGUGCUUCCACAGUGGCGUGUUUGGCUUGCCCAAGUGGAAGAUGGAUUUGGUGGAGAAGAUUCGGCCAGGGUCGAAACUGUUCUUGUAUGACUUUGACCUGAAGCUGCUCUAUGGAGUAUACAAGGCCAAGACAAAAGGAGCGUUGGAUCUCGUGCGAAGUGCAUUCAAUGGAAAAUUCCCUGCACAGGUCAAAUUUAAGGUUGACAAGGAUUGUCUCCCUAUCCCAGAGAGUAGUUGCAAGCAUGCCAUUAAGGAGAACUACAAUUCAAAGGGCAAGUUCACCCAGGAGCUUAGCUCUAGACAAGUUCAUAGGUUGUUAGAACUAUUCAAGCCUGUUAAGCUACCACCACCGCCCAUGCAAUAUGUUGAAGAAAGGCAUCGGUUAGAUGUAUCUAAAGGUCACCUACCACACUAUGUUGAAGAAAGGCGACUAUCACGACAUGCUGAGGAAAUGCAUCAUUCACGACUUAUUGAAGAACAUAGGUUACCAUAUGAUCAUGAAGAAAGAAGACGAUCACAAUAUUUUGAAGAUAAUCGACACCCACGAUUUCUUGAAGAAAGUCAUGCUAUAAACAACUCUCUACGUGAUCCACUUCGAUCUCGGCAUGCCAUAGAGCUUCAACAUGCUCCUCCCACAUACUAUCAUCAUGUUGCUCCUAGUUUUGAUAAUCGACACCAUCAACCCUCAAGCAGAUAUGAUUUAUGAACGUUCUGCCCCCAGAACUAUAGUUGAGGCCACAGACAGGGAGCCCAUCCUUGCAAGAGAUUACAGAGUGCCAGAAGAGAUUGUCGCACGCUUGGAUCAUGUGGAUGAGCUCUACCGUUCUUAUAGACAUGCCACUCGUGCAAUGGAUCUCCAUCAGGGUCCAUCCUAUGUGACAACUGUCUAUGACAACCCAACCCCUGCCUACAGUGAAAGGAUCCAGAGGCCUGUUUCUACAAGGGCUAACGCGCCCGGUGUGCCGGUCUCCUCCCUGUAUUCCUUUGCUGGCGCCCCAGCAUAUCGAUGACCACCCAAGUGGCCCAGCGCAUGCACUGAAAUUGGCCCCAAACAUCCUUAUCGUCAGUUGGUGAUGGUGUAGGUACUGUCAUAAUGAUACUAUACUCCUCUCUCAGGCUGCAAGUUAAUCGUACAUGUUGCUGCAGUGCAUCAGCAACUUUAUUGUUCCAUUUGUAACGUAAAGUUACAUACUGGAUCGUGGAUUUUAUUUCAUUCGAGUUAUUGAACAAUGCAAAGUGCA